rnacentral:rRNA from 1 species
AAUAGAUACCCUGGUAGUCCACGCUGUAAACGUUGGGCGCUAGGUGUGGGGGGCCUCUCCGGUUCUCUGUGCCGCAGCUAACGCAUUAAGCGCCCCCGCCUGGGGAGUACAGCCGCAAGGCUAAAACUCAAAGGAAUUGACGGGGGGCCCGCACAAGCGGCGGAGCAUGCGGAUUAAUUCGAUGCAACGCGAAGAACCUUACCUGGGUUUGACAUGGCCGCAAAACCGGCAGAGAUGUCGGGUCCUUCGGGGGCGGUCACAGGUGGUGCAUGGCUGUCGUCAGCUCGUGUCGUGAGAUGUUGGGUUAAGUCCCGCAACGAGCGCAACCCUCGUUCGAUGUUGCCAGCGCGUUAUGGCGGGGACUCAUCGAAGACUGCCGGGGUCAACUCGGAGGAAGGUGGGGAUGACGUCAAGUCAUCAUGCCCCUUAUGUCCAGGGCUUCACGCAUGCUACAAUGGCCGGUACAAUGGGCUGCGAUACCGUGAGGUGGAGCGAAUCCCAAAAAGCCAGUCUCAGUUCGGAUCGGGGU